rnacentral:rRNA from 1 species
CCUACGGGUGGCAGCAGUGGGGAAUAUUGCACAAUGGGGGGAACCCUGAUGCAGCAACGCCGCGUGGGUGAAGAAGUACUUCGGUAUGUAAAGCCCUGUCAGCAGGGAAGAAAAUGACGGUACCUGACCAAGAAGCCCCGGCUAACUACGUGCCAGCAGCCGCGGUAAUACGUAGGGGGCAAGCGUUAUCCGGAUUUACUGGGUGUAAAGGGAGCGUAGACGGCAAGGCAAGUCUGGGGUGAAAGCCCGUGGCUCAACCACGGGACUGCUUUGGAAACUGUGUUGCUGGAGUGCAGGAGGGGUAAGCGGAAUUCCUAGUGUAGCGGUGAAAUGCGUAGAUAUUAGGAGGAACACCGGCGGCGAUCUGACGCUGAGGCACGAAAGCGUGGGUAUCGAACAGGAUUAGAUACCCUAGUAGUC